AUUGAACGCUGGCGGCAGGCCUAACACAUGCAAGUCGAGCGGAUGAAGGGAGCUUGCUCCUGGAUUCAGCGGCGGACGGGUGAGUAAUGCCUAGGAAUCUGCCUGGUAGUGGGGGAUAACGUCCGGAAACGGGCGCUAAUACCGCAUACGUCCUGAGGGAGAAAGUGGGGGAUCUUCGGACCUCACGCUAUCAGAUGAGCCUAGGUCGGAUUAGCUAGUUGGUGGGGUAAAGGCCUACCAAGGCGACGAUCCGUAACUGGUCUGAGAGGAUGAUCAGUCACACUGGAACUGAGACACGGUCCAGACUCCUACGGGAGGCAGCAGUGGGGAAUAUUGGACGAUGUGCGAAAGCCUGAUCCAGCCAUGCCGCGUGUGUGAAGAAGGUCUUCGGAUGGUAAAGCACUUUAAGUUGGGAGGAAGGGCAGUAAGUUAAUACCUUGCUGUUUUGACGUUACCAACAGAAUAAGCACCGGCUAACUUCGUG
rnacentral:rRNA from 1 species